rnacentral:rRNA from 1 species
UACAGAGGGUGCGAGCGUUAAUCGGAAUUACUGGGCGUAAAGCGAGUGUAGGCGGUUUCCUAAGUCAGGUGUGAAAGCCCCGGGCUCAACCCGGGAAGUGCACUUGAAACUGGGAGGCUAGAGUAUCGGAGAGGUUGGUGGAAUUCUCGGUGUAGAGGUGAAAUUCGUAGAUAUCGAGAGGAACACCGGUGGCGAAGGCGGCCAACUGGACGAAUACUGACGCUGAGACUCGAAAGCGUGGGGAGCAAACAGG